CUGCGGAAGGAUCAUUAGCGUUUGUUGGUCUUGGUGCCAUUGCGAAAAAAUGUGGAUCGUGGGCUAGAGAAGAUGACCCUGGGGGGUUUUUUGUUGCGAAAUGUCUUGGUGGCUGAUGGAAUAUUGAGAAAUACAAAUACAACUCUUAGCAAUGGAUAUCUUGGUUCCCGUAACGAUGAAGAACGCAGCGAAAUGCGAUACGUAAUGCGAAUUGCAGAAUUCAGUGAAUCAUCGAAUCUUUGAACGCAAGUUGCGCUUUCGAGAGCCCUCGGAAGCAUGCCUCUCUGAGUAUCGGUUUCCAUAUCUCACACCUGGUGUGGAGAAUGAGAGUCGCCGGUGCGUCUCUUGAAAUCAUAGUCGGGCACAAGUCCAUCGGAUUCUUGGAACGAUAAUCCGCCAUGGCACACCGGAACCAUACACAAGAUCUCAGAUGAGGUAAGACUACCCGCCGAAUUUAAGCAUAUCAAUAAGCGGAGGA
rnacentral:sRNA from 1 species